GCACAAGCAGCGGAGCGUGUGGUUUAAUUCGAUGCUACACGAAGAACCUUACCAGGGUUUGACAUACAAGUGGUAGUAGAAGCGAAAGCGGACCGACCUUCGGGGAGCUUGUACAGGUGCUGCAUGGCUGUCGUCAGCUCGUGUCGUGAGAUGUUCGGUUAAGUCCGCUAACGAGCGCAACCCUCGCUGUGUGUUACAAGUGUCACACGGAACUGCCGGUCAAUAAACCGGAGGAAGGUGGGAUGACGUCAAGUCAGCAUGGCCUUUAUAUCCUGGGCUACACACACGCUACAAUGGGAAGGGACAAUAGGUUGCGAAGCCGCGAGGUGGAGCCAAUCCAGCAAAACUUCCCUCAGUUCAGAUUGCAGGCUGCAACUCGCCUGCAUGAAGUUGGAGUUGCUAGUAAACGCAGGUCAGCCAUACUGCGUUGAAUACGUUCCGGGCUU
rnacentral:rRNA from 1 species